AUUAAAAAAAAAUUUUAAAAGAAAAGAAGACAGAAACUAUAUGUGUAUAUGUGUACCCAGCACUCAGACACCUAAAUAUCUAUUAGCCACACAUCCUAGGUGUGUGGUUUUAUUGCCUUGGGGUAGGGCCUCAUAAAUCUAAAUAGAACUUGAAUCUGAGUGGACAGAUGACCUGAAAUUUUCCUAUUAUCCAUCCCAUGUGGUCUACUGAUGGCCAAAGUAAUCAAGAGUAGUUUUCAACAUUUAACAAUAACUCUUUUUAAAUUCUGAACCUUGAUGACAUUAGCUGAGACAGCAGUGCUCGAGGAAAGGAAAACAUCAAUUAUAAUGCACAAUAGGCACUGACAGUGACCUCUGAGCUAGAGACGGAAAUGUAUGUGUUAACAUUAGUAGAUACUAUUUGUUCAGGAAGGCCAUCCUUAAAGCCUUCUGCCUACAGGUUUUCCACAUGUCUGACAGUUACCUGACAUCAGCGACCUCAUCAGGCCAACUUGCCGCUGGGGUUCAGGCAGGGACCCUGCCUGGCUUUUCACUGAGAAAAGGUCCGUGUGGAGAAAGGGGUGUGUGGCUCUUGAGCAAUGCAGACUUGACUAUGGGCUUCUUGGAAUAGUGUCUUAAUGAUUUCUAAUUCUGGAAUAUAUAUCUGAGGAUAGCCCUCUGAAGUCACAAGUCAGUGUGUGUGAAGACUGGUAGAGAGGCAAAUCAAAAACCACAUCUUUCAUCCAGACUUCUGUCAGCACAGGAAGUAUUGCCUGAGUCGAGUCUCUCAGGUGAUUAUUGUUCAUUUCCAGUAGAACUUCCAGAAAACCGUUCAGGUCAGGCACACACACGCUCACACACACUCCGCUAUCACUAUGGUUCUGGUCAUUCAAAGUCGAGGAGGUGGGCAAGGGAAGUUGAGCAAGGGAACCGGCACCCCAGGCGGAACCAGAGCUCCAGCCUGGAGUUCCUGGGAGGCUUACAACUUUGUCCCCUCAGAGAGGACGUGGGAAUGAAAAUUGCCAGCCCUACUCAGCAGACAGUUGUGAUGGCUCAUUCCGGCGCCAACGCCGUCACGGGAAGUCCGGACGGAUGCGGCUAUAGGGCUGUUGAGCUCAGGGCACGUGCUGAAUCAAGCAUACCACGCGGCUCUCUAAAGCUUCCAUCGCUCACUCUUCUGCCUCAGAUCGGACACUUUCAGCUUGCUUUGAAAUGUCAGUUUUCACUGAAGAGCUUGGAAAAGGUGUUCCGUUUCUGUGGGGCCCACCACAUGGCUCUCCAAAGUAUUCCAGCCACCAUUCUUCGGGUGUCUUGAAGCCAUUUGCUGCGUCCUGACUCGAGACGUUGAUUCAAGUGCCUGCCACCCCUGAAGAAGAUUAUUUUCUCCAAAAAAGCUGGUGGCAAGGAAGACAGGAAAAUGUGUGAAAAGGAGAAAGUGGCCUGACCUAGACAGAACUAAAUGUCCCACACGUUCUUGAGCACCUUGUGCGUGCCGGGGAACUGAGACGAUAUGGAGACAUGAGACGGAGACACGUAAGCCUAUGUUUUUGUCUUCUUUAUCCUACAGACUAAUGAAGGAGCCAGGGACAGGAAACAUAUCUGGAGUACAGGAGACUCAAGCGCCCUAAUAAAGAUAGGUUCAAAGUAUGACACAGGACAGGGGCAGGGUGCUGGUUUGUGUGGUAGAAAUGACAAGGCCUCAUAGUCUCUUUAUAUAAAGGAUAUGCUAAGUGUUCGGCAAGCAGAGGAGAAAGGAAUUUCUGGAAAAGGGAAUGGCACGUGAAAUGGUGUAGAGAUGUGACAGAGAACCACUGUGCUCUGGGAAGCGGUAAAGGUCCAAUGUGACUGACACAGAAGCUGUCGGGGAGGGGCUGGUCAGGUGCCUGGAGUCCUGAGUGCGAAGUCCCUCGCAGGCCUUGCUAAAGCUCCCGGCUCCAACCACCUCUGGAGAAAAUUCCAUACAUGCAACAUCCCUUUGGGCACAGGUGCUAUAUCACGUGGCAGCCACCCCUCAGGAGGCAGCCUGGGGGUCACAGGCAUCAACUGGGAGAUCAGUUCAGGCAGAGAAAGGUUGGUGGGGACCUGGGUAUUGGCCCGCCUGCCCUCCACUUUGACGGAUGUAAGUGGCUCCUCCGAGGAAAAAAACUCAUCACUCACCACUCGUUAGAUGCUAAUCCAGACUCUAAAUGACACGGAUUCAUUCACUAAGUAUUUGCUGAACGUGCACACUGGGCAGGUGCUGCGUGUACAUCAGUGAAUACGACAGAUACUGUUCUUGAAACCUGGAGGCUUCUCGUGUAGCAGAGAGAUUGGAGGUUUGAAAACUGGCUGUGGGGGAAUGCAUGUCUCCCUCCCCCAGAGAGAGCUUAGGGAAAGCCCCCCUGAGGAAGGGAUCCGUGAACAGAGGUCUGAGGGGCAGAUACAUAGGGGCAACAGUGGGGGAGCCUGGCAGUGGGGGCACCACCUUCACGGUGCUUCUCAGGCAGGAAAGAGCAGCUUGAAUGGAGAGAAGGAAGUACUAUAAAUGGGAAGGGGAGACCGCAGAGGGGCCACUAGGGAGGGCUGAGGGCCAGGGAAGGCCAGAGCCGGAUGGCGGGGACCUAGGCCAGCUGUUCACUCCCGUUCCUCACGUGCCUUCGAUGCCCCAAGCACUGCAAGAUGAUUAAAAAAAAAAAAAAAAAAAAAAAGCCCUGGCCUCCCCGCGCUUACACUCUGGUGGACGGAGACAGACCAAUACACGAAGCCAGCACCCGGUGUGUUGGCCUGUGAGGACAGGAAUGGAGAGACUAAAGCACUGGAGGGGACAGGAGCGCUCAGGGCCGCAGCAUGGUGAGGAGUCUGUACUUACUUUCCUGUCUUUCUGUGUAGACCUGGUAUCGUUACAUUUGCAGCUUUAUUUUUAUUUUUAAAGUUGACUUAUUUAUUUUGAGAUAAAUGGGGGAGGGGGCAGAGAGAAAGGGAGAGACAGAGAAUCCCAACCAGGCUCUGCACUGUCAGCACAGAGCCCCACGCAGGGCUUGAACUCACAAACCGUGAGAUCAUGACCUGAGCGGAAACCAAGAGUCGGACACUUAACCGACUGAGCCACCCAGGCGCCCCUACAUUUGCAGUUUUAAAGAGCUCUGAUUACAGGAGAGAGAAACUCCGGAGGGGAACAAAAGGAGCUUGUGAUGCUGAAGUGGAGGGAAACACUGUGAGCCAGGGGUGUGGCUGAGGCCGCACAGUGGCAUUGCAGAUAAACUGCGCGAACACCCACAUUUUUAGGAAAAAGAAUGGGGGUGGGGGGAUUUGGCAAUUGAUUCCACAUAGGAGGCAGAGCAGUGGAAAGAGUCAAGGGUGAGUCAUACUUUUCUGGCCAGAACGAGUGGGUAUGCAGGAUUACUACUGAGCCGAGAGACACUGGCAGUAAAAUAUUUGCCUGGGAGGAGAAGGCUGCCGGGCAAGAGGGAGAUGCUUGGUUGCACUUCGGGGAUGAGGAGUUGCAGAUACGCAGGUAAUGCAAGCAGGGUGUCCAGCACCCGUGGAGGCAGCAGUGUGUCCAGCAGGCAGUGUCUGGAGCCCCUCCGGGCUGGGCUGAGGACAGGGCGGGGGACCUGCACGCACCCUGGGACUGACCAAACCCACAUGUGGAUGAGCUGGCCCUGCCCUGAAGUCCCUCUCAGGUGGGAAGAGGAAAUGGGUCCAAAGCAGCUUCAACUGACAGGCCAGCGCAACCCAUCCCACACCCUGCUGAGACCCCCUCCCGGCCUCCCCUGUGUACCCUCUCUGUGCGCUGCCGGCCGAAGUCGCCAUGACAAGGGACCAGGAGUCACAGCACCAAGACGCCGGAGCCUGUGCCUUCCCAUCCUCAUUUUUUACUUCAUACUUCAUUUCUGCUAUUAAUUAUUCAAAGCAAUACCACUUUCUGAGCAUAAACUGCUAGAAAAAAGAGAAGUAACGGACAUGUAUUAAGGGCUCUAUGUUCUCUUUGGGAGAAGAAGGUUUCAUCUAAACGUUUUUCAUUUGGACUAAUAAAUACUUUAUGUAACAUGUUAA